ensembl:lncRNA
GUUCUUGGUUACAGGUGAUGGUGGUUCUUGGUUGUAGGUGGUGUUGAUGGUGGUUCUUGGUUGUAGGUGGUGGUGGUUCUUGGUUACAGGUGAUGGUGGUUCUUGGUUGUAGGUGGUGUUGAUGUUGGUUCUUGGUUGUAGGUGGUGUUGGUGGUUCUUGGUUGUAGGUGAUUCUGAUGGUGGUUCUUGGUUGUAGGUGGUGUUGAUGGUGGUUCUUGGUUGUAGGUGAUGGUGUUUCUUGGUUAUAGGUGAUGGUGGUUCUUGGAUGUAGGUGGUGUUGAUGGUGGUUCUUGGUUACAGGUGAUUGUGGUUCUUGGUUGUAGCUGGUGUUGAUGGUGGUUCUUGGUUGUAGGUGGUGUUGAUGGUGGUUCUUGGUUGUAGGUGGUGUUGAUGGUGGUUCUUGGUUGUAGGUGAUUGUGAUGGUGGUUCUUGGUUGUAGGUGAUGGUGGUUCUUGGUUGUAGGUGAUGGUGUUUCUUGGUUAUAGGUGAUGGUGGUUCUUGGUUGUAGGUGGUGUUGAUGGUGGUUCUUGGUUACAGGUGAUGGUGGUUGUAGGUGGUGUUGAUGUUGGUUCUUGGUUGUAGGUGGUGUUGAUGGUGGUUCUUGGUUGUAGGUGAUUCUGAUGGUGGUUCUUGGUUGUAGGUGCCCGCGUCUGUUGUGCUGCUGUUUGACCUGCAGACGGCCCCUGCGGUGCUCCAGCGCCUUCUGGCCUUCGCAGGGAACCUGAAGGCGUGGACGCCGUCCUCCCCAGUGGCGGCCGAGCUGCGCAGCCGGCAGGACUGCCUGUACCGGGUGCUGCUGGACCCGUCCUCCACGCUGCACAGCAGGCUGGUCCAACUGCUCUCCCACCCCGACCAGGAUGUCCGCGCACAUGUGGCUCAUGUGCUCCUGUGAGGCCCGGUGUGAAGACUCGCUGGUGACAGUCUGCCUCAAGGGGACCAACACCGCCAUCUGAAGGCCAGGGGCCACCGUGGAACCCCUUUUGGCUUUAGUCCUGGUGUGGCUGUAACUCGUCUCCAUCCGACACAGAAGUUGGCAGAACCACGGAAAACGGGGCGGCCAUUUUGAAGAACUCAUCCAUUUAAAAGUUCCCUGUUCUGCUCAUGUUGAGAACCGGUGAAAGAGACCUCUUGAUCUGCACACAUCAAGUCCUCUUUUCUAAGUGCUUCCUGUCUGCAACAUGUUGUUAAACAGCAGGUUUCUUUUUUAUUAUUUAAUGAGAAUAUCCAAAGCCACUGCCAAAUCGGUGACUCCGAUUGUUGUCUGGAGUUCUCCCAAAACAUGAAUAAUGUGAGCGGUAAAGCCGAGGUCCUGCUGCAACACCUGCUACAGCUGUUGGAAUACAAUGACUUUGGCUAUCUAUAAUAUUAAAAGAAAAAACAAAGCCCAUUUCUAAUGAAUUAGUGUAUUGGCUAAAUAACAACCAGAGAGACAGAGCCCGACAAAGGGCCAGGGAGCUAAACUGAUCCGUCUAUUAUUUACUAACAUAUGGCCUUGAUAUUACUGAAAGUUACGUCUUGGGUAUUUACCAAAAUGGAUGCAGCUUGGGUCUGCAAUUGUCUAAUGUAAUGUAAUCAUUUAUUACUGCUAUAAUAAGCCUUUCAACCUUGUUUUUACAAACAAGUUAUAGAUUCGUCGUAGGGUUUACCAGACGCACUGAGAAAUAUGUGUAAUUCUAUAAGAGCCCAGUAUGUACUGUAUAUGUACAGUAUGUAUGUAUGUGGCUAAAGCUAUCAACCAGUGAGCUAUUUAGUGUGACACUUUUUAUGAUGGCCAACUCUUAACAGAAAUGCCUGUUUUGUCUGCUUGAAUGUCUCAAUACAUUACUGAUGUAAAAUGUUUGGAGUUUGACCCGAAUUAUAAUCAGUCUUCAUUUGACGUGCAUUAACUGACGAUUUAUGGGACAUUUAAACAAGACGACACAAUUCAAGGAGAAUUAAUGAUGUGGAACCUAGCGGUGAGUUUACAGAUU